UUUUUGUUUUAUUUUGAUGGAGAUUAGUGUAAGUCCAUAGAGUGGCUUCUGAUAUCCUUGCUUGUUUUAGGAGACAGGUAUAAGACCAUUGAGUGGCAUCCAGUAUCCGCUUUUAUUUACUUUCAUCUGUUACCAUGUUCAGAUUAUUGCUCGUUUGUAGCCUAUUCCUAAGGACCCACUUGAAUCAUCUUCUAUAUGAUUUCAAGAGGCGGACCCUUCUAAGAAG
rnacentral:lncRNA from 1 species